CAGUAGCCACGGUAAUACGAAGGGGGCUAGCGUUGCUCGGAAUCACUGGGCGUAAAGGGUGCGUAGGCGGGUCUUUAGGUCAGGGGUGAAAUCCUGGAGCUCAACUCCAGAACUGCCUUUGAUACUGAAGAUCUUGAGUUCGGGAGAGGUGAGUGGAACUGCGAGUGUAGAGGUGGAAUUCGUAGAUAUCCGCAAGAACACCAGUGGCGAGGGCGGCUCACUGGCCCGAUACUGACGCUGAGGCACGAAAGCGUGGGGAGCAAACAGGAUUAGAUACCCCUGUAGUCCCUGUUUCUUAUAC
rnacentral:rRNA from 1 species